rnacentral:rRNA from 1 species
UACAGAGGGGGCAAGCGUUGUUCGGAAUUACUGGGCGUAAAGGGCGCGUAGGUGGCCUUCUAAGUUGAACGUGAAAUCCCUGGGCUCAACCCAGGAACUGCGUCCAAGACUGGGAGGCUUGAAUCCGGGAGAGGGAUGCGGAAUUCCAGGUGUAGCGGUGAAAUGCGUAGAUAUCUGGAGGAACACCGGUGGCGAAGGCGGCAUCCUGGACCGGGAUUGACACUGAGGCGCGAAAGCGUGGGGAGCAAACAGG